rnacentral:lncRNA from 1 species
AUAAUUGUAGUUCUAAAUUUCUCUUCGCAUCCAGGACGAAGAUAAUUUUCAUCACAUGUCUUUACCUGAAACAUCAAAGAUCAUGGUUAUACGAAAUUACAGUUCCUGUUUAUAAUCAUACUAACAAUUUCAUCUUUGCACUACGGCCAAAGAUAUUCAUCAACAGACCAUCUUUGCACUACAGGCCAAAGAUAUUCAACAACAGGUC